rnacentral:rRNA from 1 species
UACGUAGGGUGCAAGCGUUGUCCGGAAUUAUUGGGCGUAAAGAGCUCGUAGGCGGUCUGUCGCGUCGGCUGUGAAAACUCGGGGCUCAACCCCGAGCCUGCAGUCGAUACGGGCAGACUAGAGUGCUGUAGGGGAGACUGGAAUUCCUGGUGUAGCGGUGAAAUGCGCAGAUAUCAGGAGGAACACCGGUGGCGAAGGCGGGUCUCUGGGCAGUAACUGACGCUGAGGAGCGAAAGCGUGGGGAGCGAACAG